GGGAUUGCCUCAGUAACGGCGAGUGAAGCGGCAACAGCUCAAAUUUGAAAUCUGGCUCCUUCGGGGCCCGAGUUGUAAUUUGUAGAGAGUGCUUCGGGGGAGACUGCGGUCUAAGUCCAUUGGAACAUGGCGUCCUAGAGGGUGAGAAUCCCGUAUGUGACCGUGGCUCGAACCCAUGUGAAGCCUCUUCGACGAGUCGAGUUGUUUGGGAAUGCAGCUCAAAAUGGGUGGUAAAUUUCAUCUAAAGCUAAAUACUGGCUGGAGACCGAUAGCGCACAAGUAGAGUGAUCGAAAGAUGAAAAGCACUUUGGAAAGAGAGUUAAAAAGUACGUGAAAUUGUUGAAAGGGAAGCGCUGGCAACCAGACCUGCCCGUAGGUGAUCAGCCGCUGUUCUCAGCGGUGCACUCGCUCUGCGAUCAGGCCAGCAUCGGUUCCGGCGGUCGGAUAAAGGCCUUGGGAAUGUACCUUCCCUUCGGGGGAGUCUUAUAGCCCUCGGUGCAAUGCGGCCAGCCGGGACCGAGGACCGCGCUUCGGCUAGGAUGCUGGCGUAAUGGUUGUCAGCGACCCGUCUUGAAACACGGACCAAGGAGUCUAACAUCUAUGCGAGUGUUUGGGUGUUAAACCCAUGCGCGGAAUGAAAGUGAACGGAGGUGAGAACCCUUAAGGGCGCAUCAUCGACCGAUCCAGAUGUCUUCGGAUGGAUUUGAGUAUGAGCAUAGCUGUUGGGACCCGAAAGAUGGUGAACUAUGCCUGAAUAGGGUGAAGCCAGAGGAAACUCUGGUGGAGGCUCGCAGCGGUUCUGACGUGCAAAUCGAUCGUCAAAUUUGGGUAUAGGGGCGAAAGACUAAUC
rnacentral:rRNA from 1 species